rnacentral:rRNA from 1 species
GAUGAACGCUGGCGGCGUGCUUAACACAUGCAAGUCGAACGAUGAACCGGGUGCUUGCACUCGGGGAUUAGUGGCGAACGGGUGAGUAACACGUGAGCAACCUGCCCCUGACUCUGGGAUAAGCGCUGGAUACGGCGUCUAAUACUGGAUAUGUCCCGUCACCGCAUGGUGUGCGGGUGGAAAGAUUUUUCGGUUGGGGAUGGGCUCGCGGCCUAUCAGCUUGUUGGUGAGGUAAUGGCUCACCAAGGGGUCGACGGGUAGCCGGCCUGAGAGGGUGACCGGCCACACUGGGACUGAGACACGGCCCAGACUCCUACGGGAGGCAGCAGUGGGGAAUAUUGCACAAUGGGCGGAAGCCUGAUGCAGCAACGCCGCGUGAGGGAUGACGGCCUUCGGGUUGUAAACCUCUUUUAGUAGGGAAGAAGCGAAAGUGACGGUACCUGCAGAAAAAGCACCGGCUAACUACGUGCCAGCCGCCGCGGUAA